rnacentral:rRNA from 1 species
UACGUAGGGGGCAAGCGUUGUCCGGAUUUAUUGGGCGUAAAGCGCACGUAGGCGUUCUGUUAUGUCGGAUGUGAAAGCCCUUGGCUUAACUGAGGAGUGCAUCCGAAACUGGCAGGCUAGAGUACUAAAGAGGGUCGCGGAAUUCCCGGUGUAGAGGUGAAAUUCGUAGAUAUCGGGAGGAACACCGGUGGCGAAGGCGGCGACCUGGGUAGAUACUGACGCUGAGGUGCGAAAGCGUGGGGAGCAAACAGG